UACGUAGGGUCCGAGCGUUGUCCGGAAUUACUGGGCGUAAAGAGCUCGUAGGUGGUUUGUCGCGUUGUUCGUGAAAACUCACAGCUCAACUGUGGGCGUGCGGGCGAUACGGGCAGACUAGAGUACUGCAGGGGAGACUGGAAUUCCUGGUGUAGCGGUGGAAUGCGUAGAGAUCAGGAAGAAUACCCGUGGCGCAAGCGCCCACCUGGCCGAGACCUGACGCUAAGGCACGAAAGCGUGGGGAGCGAACCGG
rnacentral:rRNA from 1 species